rnacentral:rRNA from 1 species
GCGCAGCAGUCGAGAAACCUCCGCAAUGCGCGAAAGCGCGACGGGGUUACCCCGAGUGCCGUCCGCUGAGGACGGCUUUUGCCCAGUGUAGCCAGCUGGGCGAAUAAGGAGAGGGCAAGUCUGGUGUCAGCCGCCGCGGUAAUACCAGCUCUCCGAGUAGGUGGGGACGCUUAUUGGGCCUAAAGCAUCCGUAGCCGGUCUGGCAAGUCCCUUAGUUAAAUCCAACGAUUCAAUCGUUGGACUGCAAGGGAUACUGCCAGACGUAGGGGGCGGGAGAGGCCGACGGUAGUUCCCGGGGUA